rnacentral:rRNA from 1 species
GGCGAACGGGUGAGUAACACGUGGGUAACCUGCCCAUCAGAAGGGGAUAACACUUGGAAACAGGUGCUAAUACCGUAUAACAAUCGAAACCGCAUGGUUUUGAUUUGAAAGGCGCUUUCGGGUGUCGCUGAUGGAUGGACCCGCGGUGCAUUAGCUAGUUGGUGAGGUAACGGCUCACCAAGGCCACGAUGCAUAGCCGACCUGAGAGGGUGAUCGGCCACAUUGGGACUGAGACACGGCCCAAACUCCUACGGGAGGCAGCAGUAGGGAAUCUUCGGCAAUGGACGAAAGUCUGACCGAGCAACGCCGCGUGAGUGAAGAAGGUUUUCGGAUCGUAAAACUCUGUUGUUAGAGAAGAACAAGGAUGAGAGUAACUGUUCAUCCCUUGACGGUAUCUAACCAGAAAGCCACGGCUAACUACGUGCCAGCAGCCGCGGUAAUACGUAGGUGGCAAGCGUUGUCCGGAUUUAUUGGGCGUAAAGCGAGCGCAGGCGGUUUCUUAAGUCUGAUGUGAAAGCCCCCGGCUCAACCGGGGAGGGUCAUUGGAAACUGGGAGACUUGAGUGCAGAAGAGGAGAGUGGAAUUCCAUGUGUAGCGGUGAAAUGCGUAGAUAUAUGGAGGAACACCAGUGGCGAAGGCGGCUCUCUGGUCUGUAACUA